rnacentral:lncRNA from 1 species
CACGAAAAGAUGUUUGUCUCGAUCCAGGUUCCCAAGAUGCAACAUGUAUUUCAUCUAUUGCCCUUAUACAAUCCUUAAAGAAUGGAUAUUUGCGUAAAAUCUGUUCAUACACAAUGUCUUGAUUUGUCGGAAGGAUUAUCUCAAUGCCAAAUGAACAAAUAUCCCUUGCAACUCGUUUAAACCAUUUGUGUAUCGUGUUAUUGGAAUGCUCAAAUCUUUUACCAAUAACACUGUAUCGUGUAGUGUGACCUACAAACACAGAAACAUAGCAACGCCCUCUUCGACGCUCACUUUUUUUUCCAUCUUUCAGCAAUCAUUUCUCUUUCAAAAUAUCACAAAAAUUCAUGAAAACGUGUUUCUACAUACGAAAAUUAAAAUAGCACACGUCUGGAUGUCCAUUUAGAAUUUUUAGCAUGUACAUUUUUCCCAUAAGCAAUGAUGUUCUAAAUGGUCACUUGCUAAUAAUACUUUCUUUGUUGGAAACAAAGUAAUUAAGUAUCAUUAAAUCUCCAAAAUUCCUGUCAAAAUCAUCCAUAAAUAACAAAUCAUCAUCACUCGAAACUUUAUCAAUGGAAUCAUUGGUACUCACAUAAACAAAAUAUAACCACAAUAAUUAUCAUAAAUCAUAUCAACCAUCAUUCUUUCGAAUAAAAUAAGCAAUCAAGCAUUCAGAAACUAAAGAAAAAUUAACAUCAGUUCUCCAUCCAAUAACAUCACUAAGUUCGUAAAUGAAAAUAGUAUAACAUCGCCACAAAAGGGAAAAAAAUAUUUCAAGUUGUGAAAUUAACAAAGUACUUCAACCUUCAACAUCACAAAUUAAGACAACACGAUACUAAAGAAAUUAAAACAACAGUCACAUGAAAGUAGUUACAAGAUAGGUCAUCUCCUUACUUCUGGCGUCUUCACAAAUGACACUCUGAAAUCGGUAUUCUUAAAAGCCUUUAAUGUUCUCAUAUAAACCUCAUUGGACACCCAUUCCAUAUUUUCUAAGAUGUCCAAGCAUAUAACAUUGGAAUAAGGAUUCGGACUAUUAAUUUCACUAUUCGAUUGAUUAUAUGAUUUUUCUUAGAUCUUUGCAAGCUUUUCUUUUAGGUAAAGUGUUCUAAGUUCAGUUUCUUCAUUCUUCAAACUAACUGUAGAUAACCACUGUGCCAUGCAGGCCUCGAUUUUAUCACUUUUACUGAUUUUAGGUUUCUUACGUCGGCAUUCAGUCGAUGUACCAAUUUUUCCAUGUCGACGUGUAUUUGAAACCUCAUCGACUUCAUCAUCAUUUUUCGCACGUAUAUGUACUCUUCUAUUCAAAAAAUCAUCUUCUAACUACCUUGCUUCCUCUAAUGUGUUUGGAAGCUGAGUGGAGGCAUUGUCUAAUCCUCCAGAAGUAGUAGUUUCGCUAAAUAUCUCCCCAAGAGUGUGGUAGUGCUUACAUCCUUCCUUCUUGAACAUAUUGUAAUCGAACUUGUUAAUCUAUCAUUUUAAAAAGAAGACACAUUGUCAUAGUGUUAAUAAAAAAUUGUAAAAUUGAUAAGAUAAAAACAAAUGAUGAAAACAUUCUUUAAUAAAUAUAUGUAUCGUAUGAAAGUGUUGCCAAACUUCCUCUGCAACAUUAAUGUUGGUAUUUGGAUCCCAUGUAACACCAAUAUGUCCCAAAAGUUCAAAGAGCAUACAAUGAAUCUUACGUAAGCGGUUUCACUUUCCCUUUAAUCUAUCUAUGCUGUAAUCUAUUUUUAUUGAAGCUAUCAUCAUUGACCCUGCCCCAUUCGCCAUUUGCAUUUGAUUUCACUUUCUAGUAAAGAAUUUCAAUAAAAGCUUGUUCAUUCUCAUCCAACCAUGAUAUUGGUUCCUUAUUCCUAACUCUGUGAUCACUUAUGUUGAAGCUAUAUUGAAUAUACAUCAAAUUAUCAAGAAAUAAAUAAGACCUUACAUAGGCUACUCCUUACAUGAUACAUUGAAAGACAAUUAACUCAUAUUUUGCAUGUGAUUUGCAUUCUAAAGCUAUGGAAAUGGAACUUAGAGAACAUAAUGCUUUCACUAAAACCACAUAAUGGCACCUUGUAAGUUUUCUGGCUUGAAAGAUGGGAAAAAUUUGCUAAAAGAAACCAAAUGAAUCAUGUAAUGCUCCAUUUAAUGACACCUUGAAAGUCAAAUUAGAAUUUUGCACGUGAUUUACUUUUGAAUAUUUGAACUAAAAAUCAACACCUGAUACUUCCACUUCAUCUAAAGCGAUAAAGGGGGAUGCAGUGAGAUGAGUCAGAAAAGAAAUCAAGAAUAAGCAUCCUAAAUGGCUUAGAGUAGCAAAUCAUAUCCUUGAAAUCCAAUCACUACAACUAUAGCCCCUAUAUGUACGAUUCACAUGAAAAUUUUGUCUAGCCACAAGAAGUUCAAAUUUGAAAAAUACUUCCGCUUUAAGAAAUCACACUAUUGACAAAAAAUGGUCAAAUUCAAAUGUAGUUUUUCCUCUAUCCACAUUCAAAAAUAAGGUGUACUUCCAUUUUUCCUUAACUUAUUGGUAUAACAAGGUAUGACCAUGUAUGCCCUCUUGCUGUAAUUCUUUGCUAAAACAUAUUUAACACAACUAAGGUCAAGCUAAACUACCAAUGGAAGAUAAUGGAGAAAGCUGUUAAUCAAAUUUUCACAAAAUCCUAAUUCAGAGUUCCUAAAAUCUGUUUCUUAGUUUUUAUUAGCAAUUGAAACACUCAAAUUAAUAUAUCCAUCAAAGGAAUGAGAUCACAACUACAAUAACCAAAUUCAGGACAAAAGUUAAAUUUGACAGUGUCCUAUUCUCCUCUCCUUAAUGUAAUUCAGAAUACAUGUAAUUCAUAAUAUUACAUCCAAUCCUAGUACAGAAUAAACCUAAGAAUCGUAUUCAAUAGGCAAAAAAACCAAUAAACACAUUAAGCCCAUUUAAGCUAUUACUUUGAAAAGAAAACAAAAGAAAAAUAUGGUUUGAAACUAAGAAAAUGAAAGAAGUAUUGCAAAAUGAUGGAAGAAAAUCAAGUUUAAGAACAAAAAAAAAAAAAACC